CCUACGGGAGGCAGCAGUGGGGAAUAUUGGGCAAUGGGCGCAAGCCUGACCCAGCAACGCCGCGUGAAGGAAGAAGGCUUUCGGGUUGUAAACUUCUUUUCUGAGGGACGAAGAAAGUGACGGUACAUCAGGAAUAAGCCACGGCUAACUACGGGCAAGCAGCCGCGGUAAUACGUAGGUGGCAAGCGUUAUCCGGAUUGAUUGGGUGUAAAGGGCGGGUAGGCGGGAAAGCAAGUCAGAUGUGAAAACUCAGGGCUCAACCCUGAGCCUGGUUUUGAAACUGUUUUUCUUGAGUGCUGGAGAGGCCAGCGGAAUUCCGUGUGUAGCGGUGAAAUGCGUAGAUAUACGGAGGAACACCAGUGGCGAAGGCGGAUUGCUGGACAGUAACUGACGCUGAGGCGCGAAAGCGUGGGGAGCAAACAGGAUUAGAUACCCCUGUAGUC
rnacentral:rRNA from 1 species